rnacentral:rRNA from 1 species
CAGCGGCGGACGGGUGAGUAACACGUGGGCAACCUGCCUGUAAGACUGGGAUAACUCCGGGAAACCGGGGCUAAUACCGGAUAACUCUUUUCCUCACAUGAGGAAAAGCUGAAAGAUGGUUUCGGCUAUCACUUACAGAUGGGCCCGCGGCGCAUUAGCUAGUUGGUGAGGUAACGGCUCACCAAGGCCACGAUGCGUAGCCGACCUGAGAGGGUGAUCGGCCACACUGGGACUGAGACACGGCCCAGACUCCUACGGGAGGCAGCAGUAGGGAAUCUUCCGCAAUGGACGAAAGUCUGACGGAGCAACGCCGCGUGAGUGAUGAAGGUUUUCGGAUCGUAAAACUCUGUUGUCAGGGAAGAACAAGUACCGGAGUAACUGCCGGUACCUUGACGGUACCUGACCAGAAAGCCACGGCUAACUACGUGCCAGCAGCCGCGGUAAUACGUAGGUGGCAAGCGUUGUCCGGAAUUAUUGGGCGUAAAGCGCGCGCAGGCGGUUCCUUAAGUCUGAUGUGAAAGCCCCCGGCUCAACCGGGGAGGGUCAUUGGAAACUGGGGAACUUGAGUGCAGAAGAGAAGAGUGGAAUUCCACGUGUAUCGGUGAAAUGCGUAGAGAUGUGGAGGAACACC